rnacentral:rRNA from 1 species
GACGUAGGGCGCGAGCGUUAUCCGGAUUUAUUGGGCGUAAAGAGCUCGUAGGCGGUUUGUCGCGUCGUUCGUGAAAACUCACAGCUUAACUGUGAGCUUGCGGUCGAUACGGGCAGGCUAGAGUUCGGUAGGGGAGACUGGAAUUCCUGGUGUAGCGGUGAAAUGCGCAGAUAUCAGGAGGAACACCGGUGGCGAAGGCGGGUCUCUGGGCCGAUACUGACGCUGAGGAGCGAAAGCAUGGGGAGCGAACAGG